GUUUUAAUAGUUUAAUAAAAACAUUGAUCUUGUAAAUCAAAAAUUAUAUAUUAAUAUAAUAAAACU
rnacentral:tRNA from 1 species